rnacentral:lncRNA from 1 species
AAAUUCAUCUGAAAAACAGCAUAAUAGUAUAUGUCAGGUAUGUGUUAAUCAGUCUAAUAGAAAAGGUGACAGAAUGUUCUUGGAACCAUCUCAAGGAAUGCUGUACUGAUCUCAUCCCAUAUUCUAAAUCUCAUGUGUGAAGCUUAAAUAGCAUAUACCAAAAUGAUUAAAAUGUACUUUCCAUGAAGUAACAGAGACAAGAAGCAAGCACAGUUGAAGGGGAAAAAAAAAAAAAAAAAAGUGACUCAGUGAAACCCCAACACAAACUGGGCCUCUCAUAGAUUACAUUGGCUGAGCAUCUACUGUGUGCUGGCCCUCAGUCUGCCUGCCAGCUGCUAUUUUUCAGUCCCUCAGUUGUGAUUACAUUCUUGCAAAAAAAAGAAAAAAAAAGGCUCACAGGAUAGAAGCAACUUUCCCAAAGCCACAUAACAGGACGUGACAAGGCACCUUACUGAUUCCAGAGCCUAUAUAACUUCCCUCCUGUUAUGCUGCCCCCCAAAAAGGGCCCACAUCAUACAUGACAGGCCCCCUUGAACUCAUUUGUCCAGGUUCCCAGUGUUCACAUCUAAUUGCUCUGCAUCCUUUGUAAGAAAUAUAAGUGUUGUUUUAGUCGCUAGUCCUCAGUCGCUCCAGCUUGGAUUCAAGGUCUCUUUUCUCAGCCUAGGUCUCUCUUAACCAAUGGAGGUGGACUGACCUGGGAACUAACGCCACUCUACCCUUAUGUGACAUCAGUCAAGGCUUGGGCUUUCACAUAAAAUGAGGAGAGCUAUACCUGCUUCAUGGGAGUCCAUUUUAAAAUUAGAUAACUUAUCACAUAGCAAGCUUCCCAUCAAUGCAUAAAGGCGCCAUCAUGAUAGUGGCCUGUCAUCAGCUAUGCUUUUGCUCAUAAUUAACACUGUGUUCCAUGCUUUCCCCAGUUACUGGCCUUGCCCUGCCUCAUUUUAUCAUUACUCCCAUCAUGAUAAUUAAUUAUCAUUAAUUCCAUCAUGAUUGGGUGCCUUAGGACCCAAUCAUAACAGAAAGAGUAUAGGAAAGUGAAAUUAGGAAAGCAAGAUAUGAAAAAUAAAAGGGUGGUAGGAGAUACAGCCAUCAUUGGCUCCAAAACUUAAGAUCUUGUCAAAAAAGCUGCCAAUUUUCCAGUGCAUUUCUUAAACUACCAAAAUGUGCAUUUUUCUUCAUACAUGUACAGGUUUUCUUCAUAAUACCAAAGAUCCAGUAAGCUUCUAGUCUUUUCAUCACUGAGGAAUUUAGUCCAAGCCAUAGACCUUAGAUAAAUGGACCUUCAUUAUUGAAUCAGGGUAAGGUUACUCCUUUGUUAUAGCCUUCUUCCCUUUUCACUGGCACCCAGCCAGAAAACCAACCCUGCCAAUUUCGCCAAGAGGAUUUUUCUAGAUCUUGUGCUGAUCCCUUUCUUCCAUUGUUUCCCCUUUCCUCUGAACAUCUGUGUCACAUUUUCCAGCAAUGUUUUAAGAGCUGAGUUUCUAUACUGGUUGACCAGUGUAUGGGUGGUUGCCUCUCAAUCUAGAUGAAAUGUAUGCCACCCAAUGGAAGGAAAGACCAAAGGGCCAUGCCUUCCGCUUUUGCUACUUUAUCCCAAGCCUCUUGUAGCUAGUGCCAUACAAGUGCACAUAGUAUAUUACUCAAUAAAUGAUGCUCAAAAUAAUAAUUAUCUUAAAGGGUUGCUCAUACAACGAUACCAAAGGCUUAUGAUAUGCCCAGAAUGUUAUCUUCCUGAAUUAGGAUACCCUCACUAAAUCUGGCAUGCACAGCAUUGAAUGAAUAGGAAUCAUGCUUGGCAGACCACUCCCACCCCAUCAGACCACUAUGAACACCAAGUUACUUCUUCAGGCAGAUGCCUGAGCUUGGGCCUCAACAGAAAUCCAAUAGUGAAAUGAAGGGCACUCAAAACUCAUACAUUUCCUUCUGGUCCCUCUUCCUGCUAAAGGAGGUUUGCAAAGCAAUGAGCUAAGGAUGUUUUUAACAUUUCAAAUAGCAAAAAGUCAGUUCAUCCGUGAAGUACUCACUCUAGAAUUCUGUGCAUGUUACCAGAAUGGAGGCCAAAUCCAAUGUGACAACUGCCAGGUGAAAAUCACAGAAGCAUAAUAUUGUGCAAUUUGAUUUCAAGGCAGAAUGUUCUAAAUCCUUAGGUUGCCAGCCAGACAAAACAUCUGUGAAGAUCAGACCCACAUUUAGACGUGGAGGUCGCUCACCUUUAAAUACUUGGGUGAAUGCUACAAACUCUUAAAGUCAAAACUCUCAACAUGCUCCCCAAAACUACCAUUUUUAAAAGUUUAAAUUUCUGCAAAUAGUAUUAUUAGUCAUUUGAUGUAAAUUUCAUAGAACAUUAGAUCUAGGAUAUCCAUGAAAUACUGUUUAACGAAACUCCCUUUGUUUACAAUAAAGAAAUUAAAACUUAGAAGAGUACAUCAUCUGUGCAAGCUCACCAAAUCAGCUAAAAUCAGAGCCAAUAUGUGGUCCCAAAUUGGUCAGUCACCAUGUUCCAUAGCUCAGCUGAUCUGCACAUUCAGAUACAUAAUGGAAACCACAUGAGCUUUUGUGAGUGAACUACUCAACUUCCCUUGGAAUGAAUAAUGCCUAUUUCAUAGGGAAGUUAUGUUAAUUAAAUGAAACAGUGAAAGUAGCACAUGGCUCAUAAUAAUAUGUUAUAAAUGGUAGCUGUUGCUAUCAUCACUAUCAUUACUGUUAUUAUCCAACCUACAAUUUAAGUUUCACACAAUUUCCUGUCAUAAGUGAGCCUGGUUGUAUUUUUAGGAGACCCCUUCUGAGCAGUGAAUGGAGCCUGGAAUUGAUGUUCCCACAAUUAGCUAGGUUUCCAACAGGUCUGGCACGAGUCUCGUAACCAAGCUGCAGCCUACAGUAUGAGAGUCUAAUGGUCACAAAAAAAGAUCAUCGGUUUUAAAUCAGGGAGUUCUGAGUCUCAAUCCAGAAUCCAGUUCUGCCAUUUAUUGCAUGGAUGACCAUGGAUUAAUUAAUUGAUUUUACUAAGUCUCGGUUUUCUCUUAAGUGAAGAAGACAGCACCUACAUUAAAGUGUGUAGAGAGAAGACUAAAUAAAAUAAUAUAGUGACAUCACCAAGAUGGCAAAGUAGGUAAUUCCCAAUUUCACUCCUCACAAGAAGAACAACUAACAACUAUUCAAGAAUAAUACUGAGAGAAUUCUAAACACAGGGGUGAGUUUGAAGUACCCCCAACACACACACAUACCACCAAGACCAAGGCAGACUGCAUUAGAAGGGUAAGAGAAGCAGCUACAAAUCAACUGCACUGCCCCUCCCCCAGGACCAGCACAGUACUAUAUGGAGAGAUCUUCCCUGAGCCUCUGGUUCUUCCAGGGGGAAAAGAGAACCCAGGGAGGGUAGACAGAUAGCACUGGGGUCACUUUGUGGGAGCCCCAUUCUGAUUUCAUAAUAUUGGGACUGCAGGGAAUCUUCAGGCUCAACCUCUGGGAAUCUGUGGUGGGUAGGUGCUUAACAAUGAGCUUAUCUUGGCAGACUGAGUUUACACCUGCAGUGCCCAAGAAGUAAUCCCAACCAGUGACUUUGCUCCUGUGCUGAACCAAAUGGGGGCAUAGUGUGACCAGGGAACUUGAUGGGAUGCAUAUAUGUCUCAUUCAGUUCCUCAGAUGAGGAAUUUUGCCAGCCUUAGAGCCUGGUUUGCUCAAACUGAGGCAAAGGACCUAAGACACUGCCCCUCCCCCAAGUGUAGAGUGUCUUCUGACCCCAUCUGACCAGAAGGGCUAAGGGCAACUCCUGGAAGCUGUGUGGUCCAGUAGUACUCUAGUCAACAGGUGAGCAGGAAGAGCUAAUUGCCCCCAGAGCAACACCAGUACUAAGCAUGGAGGGUUCUCAUGCUAUGCACAGGAUUAAUUCAAAGCCAUGACUGAAGGUAGCUCCUGGAAGCUCUUCUAGUGAAAGUGCUUACUGGAAAUUGACAGUAGCCCAGAGAGCAGCCCCCCAUCCCCUUCUUGCUUGGCAGGGGAACUGAGACAUAGUCCUACCCCCUGUGAAGAAUGUCUUCAGGUCCCAUGUGACCAGAAGGGCUGGCAGCAACUCCUGGAAAUUAUGCAUCUUAGUGGUUCUCAAGACGCAAGAAAGGCAAGCAAAGAUGAUAGUUUGCAAAGCAAAGCCAGUGGCAUUGUUUAACCAAGGAUCUUGGGUUGUGUGUCGGCUUGAAUUAAGACAACAAAGUCUGACAAAUGUGCUCAUCUUCAGAAUCGAAAAAGGAGCACAGUGUUGCCAGGGAACUUAGUGGGAUGCAGAUAUGCCUGUGGGAAUUAUGGAAUACACUGAAAAGAAACAAUAUUCACAUUAUGAGAACUCCAAAAGGAGAAGAGAAAGAGAAAGAACAGAAAGUACAUUUAAAACAAUAAUGCUGAAAACCUGCCAAACCUGGACAGAAAAAUGGACAAAAUACCCCAAAUAGACUGGGCCUAAAUAAGGCUACAUUGAGACAUAUUAUAAUUAAAUUGUCAAAAGUCGAAGACAAAGAAAGAAUUUUAAGAGCAGCCAGAGAAAAGAGAGAAAUUACAUAAAAGGAACCCCAAUACAACUACCCAAAAAUUCUCAAUAGAGAUUUUUCAGGCCAGGAGAGAAUCAGAUGGCAUAAUCAAAAUAUUAAAAGAAAAUACUGUCAACCAGGAAAUCCAUACCUAGGGAAGCUGUCUUUCAUAAAGGAAGCAAGAACAAAAACUUUCCUGAACAACAACAACAAAAGCUGAAGGAGUUUAUUACCACCAGCCUUGCCUUAUUAUAAGAAAUUCUAGAGUGAGUUCUUUGAAAGGAUAUAAAAGAACACUAAUUAAUAUCAUAAAAACAUAAAAAAGUAAGAUAAAUCUCACUGGCAAGGGUAAAUAUAUAGUCAUAGUUAGAUUCUGGAGAAUGGUAAUAAUGGUAUAUAAUUCAUUUAUAAAUGUUUAAAAAAAUUUAAUGUAGCAAAAUAAUCAUAAAAUAAUGUUAUUAGUUACACAGUAUUUUUAAAUGUAAAUUAUAACAGCAAUAAUCUAAAAUGUGAGGGGGGAGAAGGAAAAACAUACAGUUUAUGAAUUUUAUUAAAGUUAUCAGUUUAAAAUAACAUGUCGUAAGUUUAAGAUAUGUAAGUCUCAUGUUAACCAUGAGGGAAAUCCUAUAGUAAUCACAAAAAAUACAAUAAGACGUUGAAGCACACUGAAACCCAAAGUCAUUAAAACACACACACAGGAGUUCCCGUCAUGGCCCAGUGGAAACAAAUCCAACUAGGAACCAUGAGGUUGAGGAUUCGAUCCCUGGCCUCACUCAGUGGAAUAAGGAUCUGGUGUUGCUGUGAGCUGUGUUGUAGGUCACAGACGCAGCUCAGAUUCUGCAUUGCUGUGGCUGUGGUGUAGACCAGCAACUGUAGCUCCAAUUCGACUCCCAGCCUGGGAACAUCCAUAUGCCGUGGGUGCGACUAAAAAGCAAACACACACAUACAUACACACACACAGACAAAAAGACAGCAGGAUAAAUCUACAAAACUACUAAAAAACAAUUAACAAAAUGGCAGUAGUAAGUCUUUACCUAUCAAUAAUUACUUUAAACAGAUAGUGGAUAAAUUCUCCAAUUAAAAAAGAAUGGCUGAAUGGUUAUAAAAAUAAGAUCCAACAAUACACUGCCUAUAAGAGAGUCACUUUAGCCUUAAAGACACACAUGAGAGUGAAGGAAUGGAAAAAGACACUUCAAGCAAAUGGUACUCCCCACCCAAAAAAGCAGAGGUAGCUAUAUUUAUAUCAGGCAAAAUAAACUUUAAAAAUGUUUUUUUUUAAAAAAAGACAAAGUUGGGAGUUCCCGUCAUGGUGCAGUGGUUAACGGAUCCGACUAGGAACCAUGAGGUUGCGGGUUCGGUCCCUGCCCUUGCUCAGUGGGUUAACGAUCCGGCGUUGCCGUGAGCUGUGGUGUAGGUUGCAGACGCAGCUCGGAUCCCGCGUUGCUGUGUCUCUGGCAUAGGCCGGUGGCUACAGCUCCGAUUCAACCCCUAGCCCGGGAACCUCCAUAUGCCGUGGGAGCGGCCCAA